rnacentral:lncRNA from 1 species
CUGAAGUGAUCUGCCCACCUCGGCUUCCCAAAGUGCUGGGACUGCAGGUGUGAGCCACUGCGCCUGGCCCCUUCAGGUGGGUUUUGAGGCUUCACGUUGCUGCUGCAAUAAAUUACCACACACUUAGUGGCUUAAAACAGCACAGAGGUAUUCCCUUACAUUUCUGAAGGCCAGAAUUCUAAAAUCAGUCCCACUGAGUCAAGGUGGGAGCAGGGUCAGUGCCUUCCCAGGCUCUGCGGGAGAAUCUGUUUCCUGGCCCUGGAGGCGGCCUGUACUCCUUAGCUUGUGCUGCCCUUCUGGAAUGACUCGAGUUUCCUGCUUUCAUCACUACACCUCCCACCGCUCUCCAUCACCUGCUGUGCUCUUACGAGGAUCCAGCUGAGACAUGUUUUAGGAAGUUUGCUAAAAGACCCCUGGAGACGUCCUCAUUGUGGCCUCCCUGCUGUUGUGUUUAAUUUGGUUGAUCUUCUCUGCCCUCCUGCUUUUCAGAAUUAAAAGGCUAAAAAGAGUUUUCAGAGAAAUGGAAUAAUUGUAUUGCUGAUCUACGUAAACAAGUUGAAGAAUUGUCUGAAAGAAAAUAUGGUGUGUCUGAACUGGAAAAGUCCUGUGAUAGUUUGUUCAUGAGCAUUUACACAAUGGAGUUACUGUUCAUCAUGGGGGUACUGUGGACAAGCCCAGGGCUGCUGACAUAAUCUUAUGAAUUCAACACAUGAAGAUUUACAACUUGAUAAACCAGCUUCAGGAGAUCAGAACUUCUUACAAUACAACUGAUGUUACUCAGCCUAGAACAAAUACAACAGGGAUUGUGCUGCAUUCUGACUUAGGUUCUGCCAUCGAACACAGAAUGCCCUGAUCCUUAGAGGCAGAGGCAGCUCUUCAGCCUAUGGGAAAACUGUGGAUUUAGUUACUCCACUCUGCCAUGUCCUUCCACCACUGCCUGCACAUUUGAGACCAAGGAUAGAGAUUGGGAAAAAUCCAUAGUUCUCCUGACUCAGAGUUUGGCUCCGGCACUCUCAUUUCAGCCAUAGCUGCAGACAAAGCACACGACUGCUGGGCACUGUGGCUCAAGAGAAGGGGGAGAUGCAGGAAGAAGAUGAGCCUUAAGUCUGAACACUGAGGAAUUCAUGUGCAUCAGUCAGACCUCCUGUGCAAGGAAGGAUGUGGUUACUACGGCAACCCUGCCUGGCAGGGUUUCUGCUCCAAGUGCUGGAGGGAAGAGUACCACAAAGCCAGGCAGAAGGAGAUUCAGGAGGACUGGGAGCUGGCGGAGCGACUCCAGUGGGAGGAAGAGGCCUUUGCCAGCAGUCAGAGCAGCCAAGGGGCCCAAUCCCUCACAUUCUCCAAGUUUGAAGGAAAGAAAACCAACGAGAAGACCCACGAGGUUACCACAGUGAAGAAAUCUUCAGUGCGUCUUCCAGGGUCGGAUCAAAGAAGGAAAUUCAGGAAGCAAAAGCCAGUCCUUCCAUAAACCGGCGAACCAGCAUUGAAACGGAUAGAGUGUCUAAGGAGUUCAUAGAAUUUCUCAAGACCUUCCACAAGACAGGCCAAGAAAUCUAUAAACAGACCAAGCUGUUUUUGGAAGGGAUGCAUUACAAAAGGUGCCUCCAGAAAGGGUUGAGAAGAUAAUGGAUCAGAUUGAAAAGUACAUCAUGACUCAUCUCUGUAAAUAUGCGUUCUGUCCAGAACCCCAGUGAGCCUGGAAGACUGGGUGCUAUGGGAAAUGUCAUCAAUCCAAUGCUAGUGAAAGAUGUGACUGGGGAAUGCUGAAAAAUGCGCACCCCUGGGAGGAAUGAGGAAAGAUGACAUCCACUGACUUGUUAUUUUUUUGAGAAGGAGUCUUGCUCUGUUGCCCAGGCUGGAGUGUGGUGGCACGAUCUCGGCUCACUGAUGAUGAGAAGAAAGAUCUUGCCAUUCAAAAGAGGAUCAGAGUGGAAGCUUCUCUGUGGUGUCAGAAAGACGAGGAAUGUGGUGACCUCACCUAUCCAUCUCCCUCAAGGCAGCUUUUGUUUUUCUGCAGUGACCGUACUUGCAAUAAUUAAACAUAGUUGGUCAUUUAAAAUACAUCUCUGAUACUCUCGUCAAAGGUGGAGCCCAGUCCCUAUCGCCUUGAGUGAGGGCUGGGUUACGUGAUUCCCUUCUGACAGAUAGGAAAAAGCAAAAGUGAUGGCUUGCAACUUUGCAAACUACAUCAUAAAAGGUACUGUGGCUUCCUCCUUGCUCACUCUUUGAUUACUCACUUGGGAAAGCCAGCUGUCACACCAUGACACCUAAGCAGCCUGUAGAGAGGCUCAUGUAACAGGAACUGAGGCCUCCUGUCAGCAGUCACAUGAGGGAGCCAUCUUGGAAACAGGCUUUAGGUGACUGCAGUCUCAGUGGACAGCUUGAGUGCAAUGUCAUGAGACACCCUGAGCCCAAAUGACCCAGCUAUGCCACUCCUGAAUUCCUGACCCACAGAAAUGGAGAUCCUAACUUAAGUUCUUGGACUCACUGAGGCAGUAAAAGAACCAUAUCCUGUGUUUGAAUCAAAUCCCAAGUUCCUGUACGUAGAAGGUUUGCCAGACAGGAUUCCCUUUCGAAGCCCUCCUGGUUUGGAAUUCCAUGACUUGAAAGGAUCGUCCAUGGGAGUAAUAAAAUCAAAUUUGUUGGUAAAAAACCUGAACUGGUUAUUUCCUACUUGCCUCCUGGAGUUGCUAAUAAAAUAAACACUAAAGCUUCGCAGUUUCUAAAAAGACCAUGAAGCCCUGAGAGUAAUGAAAAGGUUCCUGAAAUUGAGGUCACUGUGGAAGGAGAAUCUAAUGCCUGAUGAUCUGUCACUAUCUCCCAUCACCCCCAGAUGGGACCAUCUAGUUGCAGGAAAAGAAGGUCAAGACUCCCAGUCAUUCUACAUUAUGCCUCAGCCAAGAUGUCUCACCCCACUCUCUCUGAUGCAACAAGAAGCCCCUGGAGAACGUUUCAGUCCCAUUUUGUACUUCUGUCAUGUGCUCAUCACAGUCUGGUGGAAUUUAAAUGACCUCUUAUCAAGAUGGAUAAACCCAAGUUUCCCAGUGCUGGAAUAUAGAAAAUGGAUGGACAAGUAAGUCCCACUCAGCACCCAUAGCCCAGACAUGGGGACCUCAACACACCUGGGCCCCAGACAUCACCUUUCAUUCCGAGGCAUAUGCCAUUCAAGCUAAGGGUGCUACACUUGACCACUGCGGCAGUAUAGAUGAGUCUGAAGAAUGGUAUGGGAUGGAUACUUACGAAUGCACUCGAGCAGGGGUCUCCAUCCACAGGGCCACAGAGCCAGAGGUGAGCAGCAGCUGGAUCUACCAUGAAAGACUUCAGAGUCCAGGAAGAGAGACUGAUUGGGCAACAUGUUAUUCAGUUACAAAAAGACUUGGACUAUGACUCAAAAAUGAUCAAAUAAUAGUGCAUGCAUCCAAUGCAAUAAGAAGCACUUCUGGAGGGUGAGAGAAGCAUCCAGUUAAGGUGACAUUGAAGCUGGGUCCUGAAAGAUGAGGAAGAAUUGUAUGAGAGUGGGCAGAGAAGGGGGAGGUGGAGGGAUGGGGAAUGGGCUGAGAUGGAGUGAGCUGCUCAAGCAGGGAAACCAGCACUGUAAAGACCUGGUCAAUAAAGAUGGCACAUUUUAUUCAGGGAAUGGUGAAUUAAUUGUGGCAGGAAUGCUUUGGAGAGAGAGUAAUUUGCUUGUAUGGAAUUUUGCCCAAGAGACCUCAUUACAGUUUCUAAUCUUUUGAUGUUAUCGUCUAUCACUGUCCUUGUCAGAUAGUUUGGAAUAGGUAUAAUGAUCACAAUAACAUCAAGCAUAAUAUUUCAUUAAUUCUCACAAAAUCACAGGUAGGUGCCACAGUUAUCCCCAUUUUGUGAAUGAAGUGAUGAAGACUUAGGAAUGAUGAGUGAUUGCCCAAGCUCACCUGGAUAUUAAGAGGUCUUGCUCUGUUGUCCAGGCUGGAAUGUGGUAGUGCUAU